rnacentral:rRNA from 1 species
GGCAACCUGCCUCAUAGAGGGGAAUAGCCUUUCGAAAGGAAGAUUAAUACCGCAUAAGAUUGUAGCUUCGCAUGAAGUAGCAAUUAAAGGAGCAAUCCGCUAUGAGAUGGGCCCGCGGCGCAUUAGCUAGUUGGUGAGGUAACGGCUCACCAAGGCGACGAUGCGUAGCCGACCUGAGAGGGUGAUCGGCCACAUUGGGACUGAGACACGGCCCAGACUCCUACGGGAGGCAGCAUG